rnacentral:lncRNA from 1 species
AGUAGUAAAGAGUCCAGAGCAAUAGAGAAACCUACCAGAGCAAUAGAGAAACCUACUAGAGCAUUAGAAUAACCUACCAGAGCAAUGCUUGAAAAUUCACUAUCCCCGCCCCUGAGUCAUAGCUAGCAACAAAGCCUAAGAGAAGCUCCUUCUUAUUACGGGUUCACGUUGUAUUUAGUUAGUAUAUGCUUGCUUGGUACUUUCCUAGUAUAGUAGAGUGGAGUUGCUUGUUUACUUCUAGAACUUGUAUUCAAUAAUCAUGAGAUUUGGUAACGCUCUCUUCAAGCAACGGAAAAAACAUAAGUGAGUUUUUUAGUUACUGUCAUAUCUUGGAUGCUAUUAUAUAGAAACUCAUUCACAUGAAUAUACUGUGCCUAGCAUAUAAUAUAUUCUUAUUACCCAUUAGAUGCAAUACUUCCCUUAAUCCAAUCAGAUCAUAUACAUGAGAUUUGGAAUCCAAUCGGAUCAUAUACAUUUUUGCCCAACUAACUCCAGCUCUUACUUAUUCCACGCGAGAUAAGUCUUCAUUGGUGCCUGUAUUCCCUGUAUGAUAGUCCUCUUAAUAACUAUUGGGCUCCCUCUUAAUAACCCGACCUACAACCUUCAAUAUUGCGCUCCUCAUUAUGGUUCCCUUAUCUUCCCAUUCAUCUUGAUUUGGAAAGUUGCAUAAAGGUACCUAGGUUAGUGGCACUGAGCUCCAACACCCGUAAAUAUGUAUAAGUAAGGGCCAAGUAGCCCAGUUAUCCCCCAUUUUCUUUUGAUUUCCACAUAUUGCUCAUCUUCACAACUCAGCUCCGCCUUUACUAAUGGGCAUUCCUCCUAUAUUGGGGUGGGUACAUACAUAUCUUUCAUUCAUAGGUCUCCCAAUCUCUCUCUUUUUUUCAAGAUGUUGUCCACGUGCACUAAGUGUAGGUAUCCAUUCUCUAAUCCGCGUAUCUGCUCUUUACUUAAGUAAGGGUAAAGGUAUAAUAGCAAAUUCCAUCAUGGAGAAUACAUUAGCCAAAACUCUUUGUUCUUGUCUCCUACCAAUACCUUUUUCUUGUUGAAUACUAAUUAGCAUCUAAGUCACUCUUUUUCUCGACUUCUUUUCCUCAAGGACCAUUGGGCAUACAACACUUGUUUGAAUUAUGAAUACCUUCUCCUUUCCUUAAGCAGGUCCUCUAUUUCCAUUUCUGAAUUGUUGAUCUCUUUUCCCUUUCUCUCCGGACACGGUUGGCUCGGUUCAAUGUAA